GAUGAAGAACGUAGCGAAACGCGAUAAGUAAUGGGAAUUGCAGAAUCCAGUGAAUCAUCGAAUCUUUGAACGCACAUUGCGCCCGCCAGCAUUCUGGCGGGCAUGCCUGUUCGAGCGUCAUUUCAACCCUCGACCUCCCCUUGGGGAGGUCGGCGUUGGGGACCGGCAGCACACCGCGGGCCCUGAAAUGGAGUGGCGGCCCGUCCGCGGCGACCUCUGCGCAGUAAUACAGCUCGCACCGGGACCCCGACGCGGCCACGCCGUAAAACACCCAACUUCUGAACGUUGACCUCGAAUCAGGUAGGACUACCCGCUGAACUUAAGCAUAUCAAUAAGCGGAGGA
rnacentral:misc_RNA from 1 species